UGCUCCGGCGCCAAGGGCGAUCUAGUUCAAGAAACACGACGGUGAAAGAACCCCUGCCAAACCCCACCCCUCCCCCGCGCCGCCGCCGAUUUGGAUCUCACCCGCCAGGGUGAACAUCGUCAACUCAGCUGGAUUUCAGGCCGGUUGCUUGCUCUACGCUCGCCGCAACACGACCGCUGACAUGCAGCACGCAUGCAACGGCCCUCGCAGGGCUGGCAUCCCAAUGCGAGGGCCUGACCACCAAGGAAGAACCAUUUCCCG
rnacentral:ncRNA from 1 species